rnacentral:rRNA from 1 species
UACGUAGGGUGCAAGCGUUGCCCGGAUUUACUGGGCGUAAAGCGUGCGCAGGCGGUUGUGCAAGACCGAUGUGAAAUCCCCGGGCUUAACCUGGGAAUGGCAUUGGUGACUGUACGGCUAGAGUGUGUCAGAGGGGGGUAGAAUUCCACGUGUAGCAGUGAAAUGCGUAGAGAUGUGGAGGAAUACCGAUGGCGAAGGCAGCCCCCUGGGAUAACACUGACGCUCAUGCACGAAAGCGUGGGGAGCAAACAGG